UACAUCGGAACGUGCCCAGUAGUGGGGGAUAACCCGGCGAAAGCCGGACUAAUACCGCAUACGACCUAUGGGUGAAAGCGGGGGAGUCGCAAGACCUCGCGCUAUUGGAGCGGCCGAUGUCAGAUUAGCUAGUUGGUGGGGUAAAGGCCCUACCAAGGCGACGAUCUGCAGCUGGUCUGAGAGGACGACCAGCCACACUGGGACUGAGACACGGCCCAGACUCCUACGGGAGGCAGCAGUGGGGAAUUUUGGACAAUGGGCGCAAGCCUGAUCCAGCCAUGCCGCGUGCGGGAAGAAGGC
rnacentral:rRNA from 1 species